AACUGCUUAGAGGUUAAACUCGAUGAACCUGAAUAUUCAUUAUGUGAAAAAUUCAUCAUUACGAUUAUGCUAUACGUUUUGGAAUAAAAACAAAAUAAUAGUAUAAUAAUGGUGUGCACUUUUUUCACAUCACGAACAUUGUAAUCUAUUAAUUGUAAUUAUAAUUGAUUUAUCAAACGGGUGCAUAUAUGAAAUUGCUUAUUUGAUCUUUGGUAAAUUUAUUUAUUGAAGUAUCGAAUAAAUUUCGAAAUGUGCACCCUGAUAAAGUUUUAAUAGAUUUUAAUAUUAUAUAAUGCUAAAAUAUAUGUAUAUAUAUUUUGCAAAGAGUUAUAGUCGUCUAUAUAUAAUAUAAUAUGUGGCGCUAUAUCGAAUUGCUUGCAUUCAUAUAAUUAACAAUGCGAAAGAUUCAGGAUACCCUCGAG
rnacentral:rRNA from 1 species